CCGUCGGGAGAAGGGGGGCCACAGACCGUGAAACCCCAUGCGGGUGGCAGCGGUAGGUGGCCGCAGAGACCAGGGGGAAGCGACUGUUUACUAAAAACACAGGUCCGUGCGAAGUCGUAAGACGAUGUAUACGGACUGACGCCUGCCCGGUGCUGGAACGUUAAGGGGACCGGUUAGUCCGCAAGGGCGAAGCUGAGAACUUAAGCGCCAGUAAACGGCGGUGGUAACUAUAACCAUCCUAAGGUAGCGAAAUUCCUUGUCGGGUAAGUUCCGACCUGCACGAAUGGCGUAACGACUUCCCUACUGUCUCAACCACAGGCCCGGCGAAAUUGCACUACGAGUAAAGAUGCUCGUUACGCGCGGAAGGACGGAAAGACCCCGGGACCUUCACUAUAGCUUGACAUUGGUACUCGAAUUGAAUUGUGUAGUAUAGGUGGGAGACUAUGAAGCUCGGACGCCAGUCCGGGUGGAGUCAACGUUGAAAUACCACUCUGUUGAAUUUGGGUAUCUAACUUCGGACCGUGAUCCGGUUCAGGGACAGUGUCUGGUGGGUAGUUUAACUGGGGCGGUUGCCUCCUAAAAUGUAACGGAGGCGCCCAAAGGUUCCCUCAGCCUGGUUGGCAAUCAGGUGUUGAGUGCAAGUGCACAAGGGAGCUUGACUGUGAGACUGACAGGUCGAGCAGGGACGAAAGUCGGGACUAGUGAUCCGGCACCGGCGAGUGGAAGCGGUGUCGCUCAACGGAUAAAAGGUACCCCGGGGAUAACAGGCUGAUCUUCCCCAAAAGUCCAUAUCGACGGGAUGGUUUGGCACCUCGAUGUCGGCUCGUCGCAUCCUGGGGCUGGAGUAGGUCCCAAGGGUUGGGCUGUUCGCCCAUUAAAGCGGCACGCGAGCUGGGUUUAGAACGUCGUGAGACAGUUCGGUCCCUAUCCUCCGCGCGCGCAGGAGACUUGAGAAGAGCUGUCCCUAGUACGAGAGGACCGGGACGGACGAACCUCUGGUGUGCCAGUUGUCAUGCCAAUGGCACGGCUGGUUAGCUACGUUCGGAAGGGAUAACCGCUGAAAGCAUCUAAGCGGGAAGCCUGCUUCAAGAUGAGGUCUCCCACCCCCUCGAGGGUUAAGGCCCCCAGCAAGACCACUGGGUUGAUAGGCCAGAAGUGUAAGCCUGGUAACAGGUUCAGCCGACUGGUACUAAUAGGCCGAGGACUUCACCAC
rnacentral:rRNA from 1 species